rnacentral:misc_RNA from 1 species
GUGCUUCCAAUAUUGAGGCAUAUAUUAGCUGAGACGGUGCUGUGCUCGGUUGCAUAUGCAGGCAGCCAAGAAAUGCAGCCUCUCCCAUCUCUUGUAACAGCCAGAUUCUUCAUCAUCUUUCACCAUCUCAGCUCAAAAUUCCUCUUUGGCUUCUUGGUGGUUCCUAGUUGCUUACUCCGAUCGGAGAAUGGCAAGAACCAUGGUGAGGCAUGGUUCACAUGCACUGAAGCCCCACAAUUUUCUUGUGCAAUGCAACGGGGGUAUAUUUAUACAAGAGAAUAGGACUAUCAGCUACCUGUUAACAGAAAAUCUACACGGAGAAAAAAUUAAAUUAGAGGCUGUAUCACAUAGAACAAUACAAAAUGCACUAUGAAUUGCAUUAGAUACAAGAUUAUCACAAGUCUCUUUGUUAUCCAAUUUUGACUCACAUAUUGUCUGCCAACCUAACUCUUUCCACCCUAGAUGGACAUAAUAUGUUGUCU